AGCUCCAAUAGCGUAUAUUAAUGUUGUUGCAGUUAAAAAGCUCGUAGUUGGAUUCCUGGCACGGGGUAGCCGGUCCGCCUUGCAAAAGGUGCGCACUGCGCGGCCUCGGCCAUCCUUGGGAAGAGCGGUCCUGGCAUUCAGUUGUCGGGGUCGGGAUUCCCGACGUUUACUGUGAAAAAAUCAGAGUGUUCAACGCAGGCUUACGCCUUGAAUACAUUAGCAUGGAAUAAUGAGAUAGGACCUUGGCGGUCUAUUUUGUUGGUUUGCACGCCGAGGUAAUGAUUAAAAGGGACGGUUGGGGUUCUUCGUAUUCAAUUGUCAGAGGUGAAAUUCUUGGAUUUAUGGAAGACGAACUGCUGCGAAAGCGUCGAACAAGGACGUUC
rnacentral:rRNA from 1 species